UCCCUUGACUGUGAGGUCACGGAAGGAACGUUUAAGACGAAGACGUGGAUAGGCUGGGUGUGUAAGUGCAGCGAUGCAUUGAGCUGACCAGUACUAAUGAACCGAGCGGCUUAACCUUACAACACCGAAGGUGUU
rnacentral:rRNA from 1 species